CCUACGGGAGGCUGCAGUGAGGAAUAUUGGUCAAUGGACGAGAGUCUGAACCAGCCAAGUAGCGUGAAUGAUGACUGCCCUAUGGGUUGUAAACUUCUUUUAUAAAGGAAUAAAACGAGGCACGUGUGCCUUUUUGCAUGUACUUUAUGAAUAAGGAUCGGCUAACUCCGUGCCAGCAGCCGCGGUAAUACGUAGGAUCCGAGCGUUAUCCGGAUUUACUGGGUUUAAAGGGAGCGUAGAUGGGUUGUUAAGUCAGUUGUGAAAGUUUGCGGCUCAACCGUAAAACUGCACUUGAUACUGGCAGUCUUGAGUACAGGUGAGGUAGGCGGAAUUCGUGGUGUAGCGGUGAAAUGCGUAGAUAUCACGAAGAACACCGAUUGCGAAGGCAGCUUACUAAACUGUGACUGACAUUGAUGCUCGAAAGUGUGGGGAUCAAACAGGAUUAGAUACCCGUGUAGUC
rnacentral:rRNA from 1 species